GACGUAGGGGGCGAGCGUUGUCCGGAUUUAUUGGGCGUAAAGCGCGCGCAGGCGGUUCGGAAAGUCGGGGGUGAAAACCCGGGGCUCAACCCCGGACCUGCAUCCGAUACUCCCGGACUGGAGGCAGGUAGGGGAGAGCGGAAUUCCCGGUGUAGCGGUGAAAUGCGCAGAUAUCGGGAAGAACACCGGUGGCGAAGGCGGCUCUCUGGACCUGUCCUGACGCUCAGGCGCGAAAGCUAGGGGAGCGAACAGG
rnacentral:rRNA from 1 species